UACGUAGGGUGCAAGCGUUGUCCGGAAUUAUUGGGCGUAAAGAGCUCGUAGGCGGCCUGUUGCGUCCGCUGUGAAAGCCCGGGGCUUAACCCCGGGUCGCAGUGGAUACGGGCAGGCUAGAGGUAGGUAGGGGAGAAUGGAAUUCCCGGUGGUAGCGGUGAAAUGCGCAGAUAUCGGGAGGAACACCGGUGGCGAAGGCGGUUCUCUGGGCCUGUACUGACGCUGAGGAGCGAAAGCGUGGGGAGCGAACAGG
rnacentral:rRNA from 1 species